ACUGGCUCAUGAUACGGAGAUCAUCUGGACGGGCCCAGCCUGAGCACGUGAGCCUUCGAGGGCAGAGAACGUUCCCUGGCUCGUGCUGGAGCGAUUCACUGGCUUGGAAAAGAAGGGGAGGAUGAUGGGGAAUGUGGGACCUUCAGGAGCAGAAGCCCCAGCUGACAGCCAGGAGGGAGAGGGGGCCCUGGGCUCACAAUUGCAAAAACCUGAAUUCUGCCGACAACAAUAAUGGGCUCAGAAGCGGGUCCUCUCCCAGGCCUCCCGCUCAGAGCCCAGCCGGCCAACGCCUGGACUCUGGCCGAGAGACUCUCGGCAGCAAAUCCAGUGGAGCCCCCCGACUUCUGACACCAGAAACCGUCUGUGAGUGCAGGUCUGCGUUCUCAAGCCGCUAAACUCACGGAGAUUUCUACGCAGCUGCAGAAGAUGAAUGCAUCUCCCUUCUACGCCUUCUGCUGUGGCGGCCGAGACGGAGCUUAAUGUCACUCCCCUUGAGUGUGGACUGAAUUUAGUGACUCAAUUUCCAAGAAUUGAGCAAGAAAAGGGAAAAAUAAUAACUUUAUGUUGGAGAAAUGCACAGAGUUCACCUUGCCCAAGUGAUCAAAGGUGACUUCACAGUGGUAAGUCAGGACAAUACCCUGCACCCUGACGUGAUGUCGUGAAAGGGCACUCGCGUACGUGGUAUUCUCUCCACAAGUCCAUAACCCACGGCAAUUGUGAGUAAGCCUCAGACAAACCCCCACCGCGGGUCACUCUCCGACAUUGCUGGCAAUCCUCUUCAAGAGUGUGCAGGUUAUGAAAGGCCAGGACACACUGAGAAAGGGUCCCAGAUGUGAGGAGACGAAGGAGAUUUGACAGGAGAAGCAUGAUGGGAUCCUGGAACAGAGCAAGAACGUUAGUGAAGAACAGGUGAAAUGCUGCUAGAGCCUGUUGGUUCUUUGAUAAUAGCGUACCAAAAACAAUUUUUUAGUUUUGAUAACUGUACCAUGGUUAUGUAAUACAUUAACACUGGGGAAGCUCAGUGAAUAUGUGGACUCUUGGACUAUUUUUAUAACGCUUCUUGUGUAGAAGGUCUAAAAUGAUCUCAGAAUACAAAUUUAAAUAAAUUAAUUUAAUGCUCAAAACACCCUUGAUUGGAACUUACAGCUGGCCCUCUGUAUUCAUGGGUUCAACCAAUCACUAAUUAAAAAUAUUGGAAACAAAAA